rnacentral:other from 1 species
AAAGGCCUGCGGAGUGCGGAAGCUUAUUAAUUCAACCGACAUAUUGUAAAAGGGAAUUCGUGUUUAAGUGCAGAUGACAUGCCCGCCUUGACGGGAAAUCAGAACCAAUUAACAGAAAUCCCACCUGCUUAGAUGCGGGUGUGAAUUAAAGGCUUGCGGCUCAUGCGGGUAUUUU